UACGGAGGGUGCAAACGUUGCUCGGAAUCAUUGGGCGUAAAGCGCACGUAGGCGGCCUGUUAAGUCGGAUGUGAAAGCCCCGGGCUCAACCCGGGAAGUGCAUUCGAAACUGGCAGGCUUGAAUAUGGAAGAGGGUCGCGGAAUUCCCGGUGUAGAGGUGAAAUUCGUAGAUAUCGGGAGGAACACCAGUGGCGAAGGCGGCGACCUGGGCCAAUAUUGACGCUGAGGUGCGAAAGCGUGGGGAGCAAACAGG
rnacentral:rRNA from 1 species